GGCAGAAGCAGGGCCCAGAGGGAAUGGCAGUGGGGAGAUGAAAAGCUGGCAUGCAUGGAUGGAUGGGUGGAUGGUGGCCAAGGCAAGCUCUUGCCAAAGAAUCCCACAGAAGCAGACUGGAGGCCCAGGCUGCAUUGUGGCGGUGCAUCCCCUCCCUGCCACAGGCUGCAUUUGAAGCUGAGAAAUGCACUUUGGGCCUCAGCACUGCAGGUAAAUGAAGGCAAACCCAUCCUCCUUUCACAUGGAAGCUAGGAAAAUCCCUCCCUGACUACCUGUAACAUGGGCUGCUGAAAGGUGUUGAUUCCAGAUGAUUGACCUGGUGUCCUCACCUCUACAAGAACCACCGAGACCCCAGUGCAGAGAAGCGCGGGGAGAGGAAGGACCCAGAGGAUGCUGCUGGCAACAAACAUUACGGACUAUACACUGUCAGACAUCUUCAACUCCCCACUCCAGCCCUGCUCUUCCCCACAACCCUCCAACCCCACUCUUCCUCUCCCUACCCCAUCACUGAUUUUCGACCUUCCUUCGCAUUUUCCUACUUCCUACCCCUUUCUAUCCCUAUACCCACUAUUUAUUCUUAAAUAAAAUCCCUGUUGUUGGUUUUGGUA